rnacentral:tRNA from 1 species
GCCGUUCUAGAGAAAUGGUUAACUCAUCGGCCUCCUAAGCCGAAGAUUCUGGGUUCGAGUCCCAGGUGCGGUG